rnacentral:rRNA from 1 species
GACGAACGCUGGCGGCGUGCCUAAUACAUGCAAGUUGAGCGCUGAAGGUUGGUACUUGUACCAACUGGAUGAGCAGCGAACGGGUGAGUAACGCGUGGGGAAUCUGCCUUUGAGCGGGGGACAACAUUUGGAAACGAAUGCUAAUACCGCAUAAAAACUUUAAACACAAGCUUUAAGUUUGAAAGAUGCAAUUGCAUCACUCAAAGAUGAUCCCGCGUUGUAUUAGCUAGUUGGUGAGGUAAAGGCUCACCAAGGCGAUGAUACAUAGCCGACCUGAGAGGGUGAUCGGCCACAUUGGGACUGAGACACGGCCCAAACUCCUACGGGAGGCAGCAGUAGGGAAUCUUCGGCAAUAGGCGAAAGUCUGACCGAGCAACGCCGCGUGAGUGAAGAAGGUUUUCGGAUCGUAAAACUCUGUUGGUAGAGAAGAACGUUGGUGAGAGUGGAAAGCUCAUCAAGUGACGGUAACUACCCAGAAAGGGACGGCUAACUACGUG